AUGCAUCACUGGACCGAUCGAUCAGACUGCCGGCAAGAGCAGGUUUUCCUACUCAUCGAUGCCGAUGUAUAUCUCGAUCCGCAUGCAUGCGGCUCCUCCUCUCUUCUCACUUUCCCGCGGAUGCUUAUCCAGAACCAGCGCGUCAUGAUCGUCCUGGCCCUGCUCCUUGCCUACUUGCUGCCAUUUGGCGAUGCCGAUCCACUGGGACACCUCUGCGGCGGCGUCACCGGCGGCGACUACACGGCCCAAAGCACCUACGGGGCCAACCUUGAGCUGCUACCCGCCGCGCUCCGCAAGAACGCCUCGUCCGGCCUCUUCACCAAGGGCUCCGUCGGCGCUGCCCCGCACACCGUCUACGGCCUCGGGCUCUGCCGCGGCGACGCGUCCGCCUGCGGCGACUGCAUCGGCGCCGCGUUCGGCGACGUGCAGCAGCUGUGCCCGUUGAACAGGGACGCUCGUGCCCUGCACGAGAAAUGCGUCCUCAGCUACUCCAGCCAUGACUUCGCCUCAUACGGCAGUAAUGCCACCGAAAGUUUACUAGUGGUCGUCUGGCCCGACGACGUCAAAGUCAAGCCCAUGCAUCCUGGCAACGGCGAGAGCGUCGUCAGUGAGAUGAUCGACGAGAUCGCCAUGAUGGCGGCGUACAGCUUGACGACGGCGAGGUACGCCACCGGCCGCGUCGAUGUCAACAGCACCGGCGCCCCACCGGCGUCGAUCUACUCUUUGGCGCAGUGCAACCAAGACCUGCCGCCUGAUGACUGCCGGGACUGCCUCGACGGCAUCAAGAAGAUGUUCGUUGGGACAUACUCUAGCUCUAGCUCCGUCGUCAGCCGGCAAGGUGCAUGGGUUGUCGGUGUGUGGUGCAAUUUCAGGUACGGUACUCACCAGUUCUACCAACGCCAGCCCAUGUAUAUGAAAAGCAUUGGAUCGUCGGGUGUUGGAUGA
rnacentral:rRNA from 1 species